rnacentral:rRNA from 1 species
AUUGAACGCUGGCGGCAUGCCUUACACAUGCAAGUCGAACGGUAACAGGUCUUCGGAUGCUGACGAGUGGCGAACGGGUGAGUAAUACAUCGGAACGUGCCUAGUAGUGGGGGUUAACUACUCGAAAGAGUGGCUAAUACCGCAUGAGAUCUACGGAUGAAAGCAGGGGAUCGCAAGACCUUGUGCUACUAGAGCGGCCGAUGGCAGAUUAGGUAGUUGGUGGGAUAAAAGCUUACCAAGCCGACGAUCUGUAGCUGGUCUGAGAGGACGAUCAGCCAGAAUGGGACUGAGACACGGCCCAGACUCCUACGGGAGGCAGCAGUGGGGAAUUUUGGACAAUGGGCGAAAGCCUGAUCCAGCAAUGCCGCGUGCAGGAUGAAGGCCUUCGGGUUGUAAACUGCUUUUGUACGGAACGAAAAGCCCCGGGUUAAUACCCUGGGGUCAUGACGGUACCGUAAGAAUAAGCACCGGCUAACUACGUGCCAGCCGCCGCCGUAA